CAGAACAGACAGAGCCACAGCAAUGAAUCCCCAACCUGUCUGCACGGUCACAACAUCUGCAGCUGCCUGAGACGUGCACACAUCACGAGUGUGCUUCGUGCUAGAGGCAAACACGUCAUUGCUUCUUGGAGGCUGCAAGCACCAGUGAGGCACCAGAUUUCAGGGGAUGGAUUGGAGCCUCAUGACUCCAGGUGCAAGGACAACAAAUGAGAAUGCCAGUGGUUACAAAACAUGGACUAUAAGUAACUGGUAGGUAAUUAUGGAGGGACGUGUCUGUGUGGCUCAGCUCCAACAUCAACAGAGGGAAGAGCCUUGCCUAUUGAGUCAUCAGCAGCAUUUCCUUCCAGCCCCGGGUUUUCCACAGGUUCCCUCUGAGUUUACUAUCCCAACCCACAGUGGCUGAGCUCAGAAAGGCUGCUGAGCUCACGUCCCCAGGGAACAGGGCGCCAGUCCCCCACAGCCAGGAGAGGUUUCCUGGCCACAGCCAUGCUUCAAGGCCAUGGUGCCUCACCAGCCUCUUUAUAACAGCAACUGAACUAAAUACCAACAACAUUCCAGUUCCAGCCAUCACAGAAGCUUUCAAGACACCCUGUCAUAACCAGCCCUGUCAUAACCAAACAAGGGCUGCUGGAGUCACAAGAGAGUUUUGGUGCCCCACCCCUUUGGUUAUCCAGGAGUCCCAAACUGUCCACAGCCCAAUUGCCCCCAUGUAGGAACUAGAUUUGUUACCUCAUAAAAAAGUCACUGAAGGGCUUCAACGAUAUGCAGGGCCUUAGGACUCUCAAAACCUCAUCUCACUGGAUCAGGUGCCAGGUCACAUGAACAAAGCAUCAGAGCAGAGUAAUUCCCCAGGUCUGCAGGACAUCUGAAGACAUUUCUGAAGACCAGAUAAGAGGAAGCUGAAAAAUUCAGCUUCAGAACCACAUGUGUCUCUGAAACAAUAAAUGUUUUGAGUGAUCAGC